rnacentral:rRNA from 1 species
CCUACGGGAGGCAGCAGUGGGGAAUUUUCCGCAAUGGGCGAAAGCCUGACGGAGCAACGCCGCGUGAGGGAUGAAGGCCUCUGGGCUGUAAACCUCUUUUAUCAAGGAAGAAGAUCUGACGGUACUUGAUGAAUAAGCCACGGCUAAUUCCGUGCCAGCAGCCGCGGUAAUACGGGAGUGGCAAGCGUUAUCCGGAAUUAUUGGGCGUAAAGCGUCCGCAGGCGGUCUUGUAAGUCUGUCGUUAAAGCGUGGAGCUCAACUCCAUUUCGGCGGUGGAAACUACAAGACUAGAGUGUGGUAGGGGCAGAGGGAAUUCCCGGUGUAGCGGUGAAAUGCGUAGAUAUCGGGAAGAACACCAGUGGCGAAGGCGCUCUGCUGGGCCAUAACUGACGCUCAUGGACGAAAGCUAGGGGAGCGAAAGGGAUUAGAUACCCCUGUAGUCCUAGCCGUAAACGAUGAACACUAGGUGUCGGGGGAAUCGACCCCCUCGGUGUCGUAGCUAACGCGUUAAGUGUUCCGCCUGGGGAGUACGCACGCAAGUGUGAACUCAAAGGAAUUGACGG